rnacentral:rRNA from 1 species
UACGGAGGGUGCAAGCGUUAAUCGGAAUUACUGGGCGUAAAGCGCACGCAGGCGGUCUGUCAAGUCGGAUGUGAAAUCCCCGGGCUCAACCUGGGAACUGCAUUCGAAACUGGCAGGCUAGAGUCUUGUAGAGGGGGGUAGAAUUCCAGGUGUAGCGGUGAAAUGCGUAGAGAUCCGGAGGAACACCAAAGGCGAAGGCAGUGUCCUGGGGAGUACCUGACGCUCAGGUGCGAAAGCCAGGGGAGCGAACGGG